ACUCCUACGGGAGGCAGCAGUGGGGAAUAUUGCACAAUGGGCGCAAGCCUGAUGCAGCGACGCCGCGUGAGGGAUGACGGCCUUCGGGUUGUAAACCUCUUUCAGUACAGACGAAGCGUAAGUGACGGUAUGUACAGAAGAAGCACCGGCCAACUACGUGCCAGCAGCCGCGGUAAUACGGGGUGGGCAGCAGUUAAUCGGAGUUAUUGGGCGUAAAGGGUGCGUAGGUUGUUAUUUAAGUCAUGUGGGAAAUACCUGGGCUCAACCUGGGAAUGACGGAUGAUACUGAAUGACUAGAGUAUAGUAGAGGGUAGUGGAAUUUCCGGUGUAGCGGUGAAAUGCGUAGAGAUCGGAAGGAACACCAGUGGCGAAGGCGGCUACCUGGACUAAUACUGACACUGAGGCACGAAAGCGUGGGUAGCAAACAGGAUUAGAUACCCU
rnacentral:rRNA from 1 species